rnacentral:lncRNA from 1 species
AUUAGCUCCUUUUAUACUACUUGUCUUUAGAAAUCUAGUUGUUGUAUACUCUGAUAAUUUAUUAGAUGCUUUAUCUUGCCUUUCUAUACUGUUGUUAUAGACGUCUUAUAUGUUGUAGGCAUAUGGUAGGUCUGGACACGCACCGGGCGAGCUUUCGCUGGGUCCCGAGGCGUGACACAAAUAUUGAAUUAAACUAUCCAAUCAUAUAUAAUUAAAAUUAAAAUUUUAUAUAAACAAUAAUUUUUUAUUUUAAAAACAUUUUUGUAUAUUUUUUCAAACACACAAUUAAUGGUAACGUAGGCAACGACGGGUGUGUGCUGUUACUUGAUAACUUGGAGGACUUCAAGCUUGGCUCCUUGGGGUGAGAGACAGAAAAAAAAAAGAGAAAGAGAUUAGGAUUUUAGAACUCUGUGAAAGAAAGAGAGAAAGAGAGUAUAAAUUUAGUAGAAUUUUACUCUAUUGGAUUUGUUUUUAUGAGCCAAUAAUAUUGGUUCAAUUUUAAUUAAAUUCAGAUUACUCACUUAUAUAAUAAAAAUAUAUUAUAUUUAUAUAUUUUUUAAUAUAUAUAAUUUUGAGCUUUUCGAACAUAAUUCGAGCGAGCCGAAUAAUACUCAAGUUUGGCUUAAAAUAAAUUUUGAUCUUUUUCAUUUGUUCAAGUUCGGCUUAUUUAAUUUUGAGUCGAUCUCGAGCGAGCCGA